GCUAAUACCGUAUAAUAAUUAAACCGCAUUGGUUUUAGUUUAAAAGAUGGUCUUGCUAUCACUAAGAGAUGGUCCCGCGGUGUAUUAGUUAGUUGGUGAGGUAAUGGCUCACCAAGACAAUGAUACAUAGCCGAGUUGAGAGACUGACCGGCCACAAUGGGACUGAGACACGGCCCAUACUCCUACGGGAGGCAGCAGUAGGGAAUCUUCCACAAUGGACGAAAGUCUGAUGGAGCAACGCCGCGUGUGUGAUGAAGGGUUUCGGCUCGUAAAACACUGUUGUAAGAGAAGAAUGACAUUGAGAGUAACUGUUCAAUGUGUGACGGUAUCUUACCAGAAAGGAACGGCUAAAUACGUG
rnacentral:rRNA from 1 species